UACGUAGGGUGCAAGCGUUGUCCGGAAUUAUUGGGCGUAAAGAGCUCGUAGGCGGUUUGUCGCGUCUGCUGUGAAAUCCGGAGGCUCAACCUCCGGCCUGCAGUGGGUACGGGCAGACUAGAGUGCGGUAGGGGUGACUGGAAUUCCUGGUGUAGCGGUGGAAUGCGCAGAUAUCAGGAGGAACACCGAUGGCGAAGGCAGGUCACUGGGCCGCAACUGACGCUGAGGAGCGAAAGCAUGGGGAGCGAACAGG
rnacentral:rRNA from 1 species